ensembl:lncRNA
AUGGUGGGGAAGCGUUUCUCGUGGGACAAGACAGGCGUGAGCUCCCGCAAAGGGCCCCAUAAUGGUGGGGAAGCGUUUCUCGUGGGACAAGACAGGUGCGAGCUCCUGUGGAGGGGCCCAGAAUGGUGGGGAAGCGUUUCCCGUGGGACAAGACAGGCGCGAGCUCCUGUGGAGGGGCCCAGAAAGGUGGGGAAGUGUUUCCCAUGGGACGAGACAGGCGUGAGCUCCUGCAAACGGGCCCAGAAAGGUGGGGAAGUGUUUCCCGUGGGACGAGACAGGCGUGAGCUCCUGCAAACGGGCCCAGAAUGGUGGGGAAGCGUUUCCCGUGAGACGAGACAGGCGCGAGCUCCCACAGAGGGGCCCAGAAUGGUGGGGAAGCGUUUCCGUGGGACAGGACAGGCGCGAGCUCCGGCAGAGGGCCCGGGAACGGUAGGGAAGGAGAACUUCUGCCUCCAACUGACUUUCUCACUGUGCAACGGCAGAUCCAGAGGAACCUCUGCGUGUGAGGCUCUGCCAGGCUGGGGAGGAGUGUGCGGUCAGCAUGGCUCUGCACUUCUCACCACUGCGGCAGCUUUUCUUAGCUGUGGGGUCCAGGACCGUGUCUCCGCCUUGGUCCUGAGCUCCGGGACACGCACGAUGGUGUUCUUGCCUGUGGAGCUGCUGGCUGAACUCCCUGGUGAUAUCCAUCUUGUGCUAACUACGUGUCAGAUGGCUUUUGAGGUGAUGGGGCUGUAUUGGUUAACAAAGUCCUGGCCUUCAUGCAACUUACAGUCUACUAACGGGAGCUCAUGUGACAUCAGCAAGGAAAUGCACUUAGUCCUUUGUAUCUGCAUUUCUCUCAAAUAAUCUCGAGUGUCAGAUACCAUUCCGGUGUUUGCUGCUCCAAGAACCCAAACAUACACAAUGUUCCAGCAGAGGCUGCACAAAAACAAAGGCCCUGAGGAGCCUGGCAUUUUCCAGGAGCAUCAGGGAGGCCAGCGCGGCGUUUAUGGAGAAGACAGAGGGAGAGUGGGAGAUGAGGCCAGAAACGCACUUGAAGUCCUUGCGGAAGAAAAAUAGUUGACUUGCUUAUUAUAAAACCCUUUUUGUUAAGGAGGAAAUAAAAACUGUUAACCAACGGCAUCUGUAUCCAUUACAGAAUUUAACGGAAGGGCAUCAAACAGCCGGUACCAUACAAUCUUCCAUUAGCAGCGUUCAGCACAUCUGUCUAGGUAGUAAACCUAGGUAGCCCAGUUCUGGGCCAUUAAAAUUUUGAUGUAACCCAUUAACGAAACUUACGGCCUUAGUUCAAAGGGCUGUUGCCGUUGUGUCUGUGAGAGCAGUACUGCAGAGUGCAUUUUAUGCAAAUCUAAUAGAUUUUAAUGAGUGAUCCUGCUUAAUAAGCUAGUUAGGCCAUUCGGGCAUUUACUUGAGAGUGACCACAAAUCCCUUUGUCUGAAACCAUUUCACAGCGCUAACAUUUAACUGAAACAGCACUUAACACAACGCCAGGCACACAGGGAGCACUGAGUGUUAUGUUACUGAUGACAGGGAUGGAGAACAGGGGUCUUACCCAGUGUGUCAGUCUCGAUGCUCCUGAGUGACCCAGACAAAAAAGGACUAGAAUCUUUCUUUUCAGGAGUUUGUGUCUUAGAUCCUUGUUUCACCACAAAGCAUAAGCUUGACGUAGCCUGAACUUGACAGCGCUUUCCACAGGGCACUUAAAAAUACUUUUACCUCCAUAAACCAUGACAGGUCUUUGCUCAGCCUCUGAUAAGCCAAAGAUUAGAAACUCCCUUUAAACUUCAGAAACAGAGCAACACUCAGUCAGGCGGUAAAAGCUGCAGAAAUUGGUCUUGAAUAUCAUCACUGUGUAUCAACUGAAAUCAGAU